rnacentral:rRNA from 1 species
UUAAGUUAUUAAGGGCGCACGGUGGAUGCCUUGGCACUAGAAGCCGAUGAAGGACGUUACUAACGACGAUAUGCUUUGGGGAGCUGUAAGUAAGCUUUGAUCCAGAGAUUUCCGAAUGGGGAAACCCAGCAUGAGUUAUGUCAUGUUAUCGAUAUGUGAAUACAUAGCAUAUCAGAAGGCACACCCGGAGAACUGAAACAUCUUAGUACCCGGAGGAAGAGAAAGAAAAUUCGAUUCCCUUAGUAGCGGCGAGCGAAACGGGAAGAGCCCAAACCAACAAGCUUGCUUGUUGGGGUUGUAGGACACUCUAUACGGAGUUACAAAGGACGACAUUAGACGAAUCAUCUGGAAAGAUGAAUCAAAGAAGGUAAUAAUCCUGUAGUCGAAAAUGUUGUCUCUCUUGAGUGGAUCCUGAGUACGACGGAGCACGUGAAAUUCCGUCGGAAUCUGGGAGGACCAUCUCCUAAGGCUAAAUACUCUCUAGUGACCGAUAGUGAACCAGUACCGUGAGGGAAAGGUGAAAAGCACCCCGGAAGGGGAGUGAAAUAGAACCUGAAACCGUGUGCUUACAAGUAGUCAGAGCCCGUUAAUGGGUGAUGGCGUGCCUUUUGUAGAAUGAACCGGCGAGUUACGAUUUGAUGCAAGGUUAAGCAGUAAAUGUGGAGCCGUAGCGAAAGCGAGUCUGAAUAGGGCGUUUAGUAUUUGGUCGUAGACCCGAAACCAGGUGAUCUACCCUUGGUCAGGUUGAAGUUCAGGUAACACUGAAUGGAGGACCGAACCGACUUACGUUGAAAAGUGAGCGGAUGAACUGAGGGUAGCGGAGAAAUUCCAAUCGAACCUGGAGAUAGCUGGUUCUCUCCGAAAUAGCUUUAGGGCUAGCCUCAAGUGAUGAUUAUUGGAGGUAGAGCACUGUUUGGACGAGGGGCCCCUCUCGGGUUACCGAAUUCAGACAAACUCCGAAUGCCAAUUAAUUUAACUUGGGAGUCAGAACAUGGGUGAUAAGGUCCNUGUUCGAAAGGGAAACAGCCCAGACCACCAGCUAAGGUCCCAAAAUAUAUGUUAAGUGGAAAAGGAUGUGGCGUUGCCCAGACAACUAGGAUGUUGGCUUAGAAGCAGCCAUCAUUUAAAGAGUGCGUAAUAGCUCACUAGUCGAGUGACACUGCGCCGAAAAUGUACCGGGGCUAAACAUAUUACCGAAGCUGUGGAUUGUCCUUUGGACAAUGGUAGGAGAGCGUUCUAAGGGCGUUGAAGCAUGAUCGUAAGGACAUGUGGAGCGCUUAGAAGUGAGAAUGCCGGUGUGAGUAGCGAAAGACGGGUGAGAAUCCCGUCCACCGAUUGACUAAGGUUUCCAGAGGAAGGCUCGUCCGCUCUGGGUUAGUCGGGUCCUAAGCUGAGGCCGACAGGCGUAGGCGAUGGAUAACAGGUUGAUAUUCCUGUACCACCUAUAAUCGUUUUAAUCGAUGGGGGGACGCAGUAGGAUAGGCGAAGCGUGCGAUUGGAUUGCACGUCUAAGCAGUAAGGCUGAGUAUUAGGCAAGUCCGGUACUCGUUAAGGCUGAGCUGUGAUGGGGAGAAGACAUUGUGUCUUCGAGUCGUUGAUUUCACACUGCCGAGAAAAGCCUCUAGAUAGAAAAUAGGUGCCCGUACCGCAAACCGACACAGGUAGUCAAGAUGAGAAUUCUAAGGUGAGCGAGCGAACUCUCGUUAAGGAACUCGGCAAAAUGACCCCGUAACUUCGGGAGAAGGGGUGCUCUUUAGGGUUAACGCCCAGAAGAGCCGCAGUGAAUAGGCCCAAGCGACUGUUUAUCAAAAACACAGGUCUCUGCUAAACCGCAAGGUGAUGUAUAGGGGCUGACGCCUGCCCGGUGCUGGAAGGUUAAGAGGAGUGGUUAGCUUCUGCGAAGCUACGAAUCGAAGCCCCAGUAAACGGCGGCCGUAACUAUAACGGUCCUAAGGUAGCGAAAUUCCUUGUCGGGUAAGUUCCGACCCGCACGAAAGGCGUAACGAUUUGGGCACUGUCUCAACGAGAGACUCGGUGAAAUCAUAGUACCUGUGAAGAUGCAGGUUACCCGCGACAGGACGGAAAGACCCCGUGGAGCUUUACUGUAGCCUGAUAUUGAAAUUCGGCACAGCUUGUACAGGAUAGGUAGGAGCCUUUGAAACGUGAGCGCUAGCUUACGUGGAGGCGCUGGUGGGAUACUACCCUAGCUGUGUUGGCUUUCUAACCCGCACCACUUAUCGUGGUGGGAGACAGUGUCAGGCGGGCAGUUUGACUGGGGCGGUCGCCUCCUAAAAGGUAACGGAGGCGCUCAAAGGUUUCCUCAGAAUGGUUGGAAAUCAUUCAUAGAGUGUAAAGGCAUAAGGGAGCUUGACUGCGAGACCUACAAGUCGAGCAGGGUCGAAAGACGGACUUAGUGAUCCGG